CCUACGGGAGGCAGCAGUGAGGAAUAUUGGUCAAUGGGCGCGAGCCUGAACCAGCCAAGCAGCGUGAAGGAUGACUGCUCUACGGGUUGUAAACUUCUUUUAUAAAGGAAUAAAGUGAGGCACGUGUGCCUUUUUGUCUGUACUUUAUGAAUAAGGAUCGGCUAACUCCGUGCCAGCAGCCGCGGUAAUACGGAGGAUCCUAGCGUUAUCCGGAUUAAUUGGGUUUAAAGGGAGCGUAGGUGGGUUGUUAAGUCAGUUGUGAAAGUUUGCGGCUCAACCGGAAAAUUGCAAAUGAUACUGGCUACCUUGAGUACAGGUGAGGUAGGCGGAAUUCGUGGGGUAGCGGUGAAAUGCUUAGAGAUCACGAAGAACACCGAUUGCGAAGGCAGCUUACUAAACUGUAACUGACAUUGAUGCUCGAAAGUGUGGGUAUCAAACAGGAUUAGAUACCCGGGUAGUC
rnacentral:rRNA from 1 species